rnacentral:lncRNA from 1 species
UCACCUCCUCCAUCUGCUCCAAGCCUAAAGCCUCCGUUUUCGAUCCACACAAGUCCUCUUUCCAUGGCGUCCCUAUCGCCACCCAGGCCCGCCUGAGCCCGGUGAAAUCCACGCCGGUGAAUCUCGCCGUUACAGCCGCAGCGAUGCCCUACGACCUCCGGUCGUUCAAGUUCGAACCCAUCAAGGAGUCGAUCGUCUCUCGCGAGAUGACCCGCCGGUACAUGAUGGACAUGAUCACCUACGCGGACACUGACGUCGUUGUCGUCGGCGCCGGCUCUGCUGGGCUGUCCUGCGCCUACGAGCUCAGCAAGAACCCCUCCGUACAGGUGGCGAUCAUUGAGCAAUCCGUCAGCCCCGGCGGCGGCGCGUGGCUCGGGGGCCAGCUCUUCUCCUCCAUGGUGGUCCGCAAGCCAGCACACCGCUUUCUCGAUGAGCUUGGCCUAGAGUACGACGAGCAAGACAACUACGUGGUGAUAAAGCACGCGGCUCUCUUCACAUCCACCAUCAUGAGCAAGCUCUUGGCGAGGCCCAACGUGAAGCUCUUCAACGCGGUGGCAGCCGAGGAUCUGAUUAUAAAGGAAGGGAAAGUCGGCGGGGUGGUGACCAACUGGGCUCUGGUGUCGAUGAACCACGACACACAGUCGUGUAUGGACCCGAACGUGAUGGAGGCGAAGGUGGUGGUGAGCUCAUGUGGACACGACGGGCCGUUCGGAGCCACUGGAGUGAAGAGGCUGAGGAGCGUUGGAAUGAUAGACAGCGUUCCGGGAAUGAAGGCGCUAGACAUGAACACGGCAGAGGAUGAGAUCGUGAGGCUCACCAGGGAGGUGGUGCCGGGAAUGAUCGUCACCGGAAUGGAAGUUGCAGAGAUUGAUGGCUCCCCAAGGAUGGUAAUUUUCUUCUUUCUCACUACUUGUUUUUAGUACUUUUUGUUUCUUGAAAAAAAUUGUUUGGACAAAAGAUCAUUAGAUAUAUUUGAAAAUUUAAAAUUUUACUUUUGAAAAAAAAUUUAGUUUUUUUUUGAUGAUUUAAUAGUUUGUUUUAAAUUCAAGAUCUUUAAGAAAAAUGGAAAACUUUUCCAUUUAAACAAAUGAUGGGCUUUUUGAUCCGAAUUUAAGGCCCUGUUUGGAGUUUGUUUAUUGAUAAAAAGAAGUUUUAAUUUUGGUAUGAGAUGUAAAACAUUAAACCCAUAAAAGCGAAUAACAUUUUCUCCAUAUAUGGCGAUUGGUAAUGCAGGGACCGACAUUCGGAGCGAUGAUGAUAUCAGGGCAGAAGGCAGCUCACUUGGCCUUGAAGUCUCUGGGGCUGCCCAACGCUCUGGACGGCACAUACAUCGGAAACCUCCAUCCCGAGCUGGUCUUGGCCGCUGCCGCCGAUGCUGCUGAGAUUGCUGAGGCUUAAUGGAAGCAGCAAACCAAAACAAAAAAACCCUGAAAAUAAUAGUCCUUUCAAUGGGGAAGAAUUCCAUGGGGAUUUUGUGAUUAGGUAGGUGUUUGUUUUUUAAUAACUUUCUCCUUAGGGUGUGUAUUUCUCCCUUUUUCUUGCUUGAGGAUUUGGUCGGAGCUUGGAACUUAGAACUUGGAAAUUGGAGUGAAAAUGGUAGUGGCAUUUGGCUGUUGUGACUAGUGAUUUUUUUCUACUUUGAGAUAUCCUACUUUAAUUAUCGUGCUUUUGCUGUGCUGUCACGGGUACCUUUCAGAUAUGGCCUAGUAGUUAAUAUAUAUAUAUAUAUAUAUAUAUAUAUAUAGAUAGAUACACUUUCUACUACCCUCUCUGUGCUGUCACGGGUACCUUUCAUAUAUGGCCUAGUAGUUAAUAUAUAUAUAUAUAUAUAUAUAUAUAUAUAUAUAUAGAAACACUUUCUACACCCUCUCUUAAAUAGGUAAAUGAUUGUUUUAUUUACUUAUCAAUAGAAAUUUUGAAAAAACAAUGAAGAUUAUUAAAAUCGGUUAAAAAUAUAUUAAAAUUAUGAUGAAAUUUUAAAAAUUGUGAAAUAUAUAUAUAUAUAUAUAUAUAUAUAUGAAAUUGUAAAAGUAAAAAAAUUAUAACAAAAUGAAUCUUUUUUGUUAUUAAAAAAGAAUUGCUUCAUUUCUUUUUUAAUUUUAUUUUUUACAAAUUUAAUAAAUUAAAAUUAAAAUUAAAAUGAUUUUUUUUCAUUUUUCUUGAGCCCAUUAGUUUAAUUUUAACUCUCAGGACUCCAAUAUCUAGAAAUAAUUAUUAAUGCUUAAUUCAAUGACAUCAACUCCCUGGAUGUUAUGAUAUUUAAUGUUAAACAUAUUUUGUCGUAAUAGAAAAACUUAAUCCUUUGAUCAAUGAAUGAAUCAUGUAUGGUCUCAAUAUGGCAAUAUAAUCCUCCAUAGAAAGCCAAAAUAUUCCACAAACCCUUUGUUUAAACCUUCAUUAACCUCCAUAUAUUCUGCAUUUGUUGUGGAUAAGUUACAACUUCUCAUACAAAUUGAGUUGGUAACUUGGGUUUGUAGUGGGCUUGAACUUACCAAAAUUAUGAAACAUUAAACUUGUUCAACCAAACUUGAACUCUAAUUCUAAUUACUCAGGACAAGUCCAACUAAUCUUACUUUUUCCAAACUUGAAUCGGUUAUAUUAGAUUUGGAGGGUGUUUGUUUUUUUUAGCUUUUUAUUGAAAGUAAUUUAUUUUCAAAUUUUAGGUUGUUUAUUUGUUUUUGUUUUAUGAUUUAUUAUAAACUUUUUAUUGAAAAAAAAAAUCAAAAUAUUUGGUUUUUUUCUAAAUGAAAAAAGUAAUAUAUUGAUUUUUUUUUAACUUUUUAAUACUUAAUAGAAAUAAAAUAUUACAAAAACAAAUAAUCUAAUACUUAAUACUAUUAAACAUUAAAGUUCUAUUUAGAGUUAAGUAAAAAAAAACAAACACCAUCUUAGAUUGAUCAAAUUGUAUGGGCUAAAAUUGGGUUAGGUAACCCGACCACAAUUUUUUUAAAAAAAAAACUUUUUUUUAUAUGUAUUUAUGUGAAAAUUUAAAUAGUAAAUGAAAUUAUAUUUUAAGAUAAUAUUAAAAAUGUAAAGAAAUAAUAAUAAAUUUAUCUACCUUAAAAAUGAAAAGCAUUUGUAUAAUUAUAAUUGCAUUUUUCUUAAAAGUAACAAAAAAAAAUCAUUAGAAAAGAUAAUAAAAUGAAUAUUACCAUACAAGAAAAUAAAAUUAUAAAUUUUAUGGAAAUUUUAAGUCAAGUUUUGGUUAAUUUUUGAUUGCCUAAACCUUUGUUUGAGCUUAAUUUGAAUUAUGAUCAAAUUGAAAACCCUCAACCUAACUUCAAUCUAAUUAUUAAAAUAAUUAUUCAAGCCCACCUAACUAUCCGAUGAGGUUUGGUUUCAAUCAAUUUGCUCAAACUUAAUCCUUAGUAAUGCGACUAUAUUUUAUAACACUGAUAUCCAACUAAUGACUCUACCAAUAAAAAUACUAAUGACUCUAUCAAAUAACCUUAAUAUAUGUUCAUUCUAUAUCAAACAAAAUUUCUCAAUCACGAGUAAUUAUAAGAUAUUUAAGAAUUUAUUUUAUAACAUUUAAUAUUGUUAUCAAGAGUCAUCAUAUACUUGUCCAUGAUAUUUAUGACGCGAAAGUAAAACAUUUUUUCAAUUUAUAAAUUACACAACAAUUGACAUAUCAUCGAUAUAUAAAUAAAUGGAAUAAUAAUUUUACAAUUAUAUAAUUAUGAAACAUAAUUCAAAUUUGAGUAUUGUAUAUUAGCUUCUUUAAAGCAACAAAAUCUUUACCUAAUUUUCUCGUAGUAUUGGGGACAAAUAAUAUGACAAAAUGACAAACUAGACAAACCAAUGCCAACGACGUCGUUUUACGAGGGUAAGCCAUGAGUUUAUGUUCGUCCUGUGUCCGAAGAUUUUGCCAUUUUCCUCGUUGACAUCACCCGCGCAAAGGUACGCUUCCAAACCCACCUGCAACGCAACACAAAAAUUCUGCAUAAAAUCACAAAACCCUAAUUUCCGUUUGUUUCCAGAGAAUCUGCAGGAAAAGAGAAGAGAAGGAAAAAAAAAAAUUGUAAUGUUGCACCAAUUGCCACUCCAACGCUCAAUCCUUUUUAGAUUCCAAAUUGUUAUUUAUUUUUUAUUUUUUAUUUUUUUCCAUCUUUUCUUGGCACUCAAACAGAAUUUAUUGGUGCAGUCCAACCCUCUACGGAGGCAGAUUGAAUAGGACAUCUGAAUCCCUGGCUUCACUUUUGAGAUUUUGUCAUAAACCCUAACCCUAGUGCCGUGCAUGUGCUGUUUUUGUUUUGAAAUUUGAUUUAUUGAUUGGACAACUGCUUAAUUUAGGAGAGAUGAACAUAAUAGUUACACUAAACUGGUAUAAGGGUUAUUGAUUCAAUCAAAAUUUGGUUUUGAUAUGAAAUUUGACUUUAUUGUUUGUUUGGUGUGUUAGAAUUCAAUCAGAAAUAUAUUUGCUAUUCAAUGAGAAAAUGGGUGUGAUUUGUUAGGAAUGAUUCUGUCACUUGAUUGAACUGGCGAUCAAGUUGGAUUUAAAUUCUAAAAACAAUCUCUAUGCUCCCUUGUGUCUUUCUGCAUAUAAUGAAUUUUGUAUUCAUUGUAGGAUUGUGGGCGGUGGCCUAAGAUUGAAACAAUGGAAGAUCUUUUUGUGUUUAUACUUUCUAUGCUUCUUGUCAUUGCAUUAAUUCCGCUAUACUUAUGGAAGAGGCGUCAGGAUUCUCGAUCAUCUGAUGAACAUGAGGAAGAACAUCAGGUGUGAUUCUCUGUUUUCUUUUCUUUAUUUCCCUUUUUAAUAGAAUUAUUUUAAGUAUUAGGUUCCUCAUUCUUGCUGAAGAUUUAUUUUUUUUUACACGUGUUUCAAUUUUUCGGAUUUCUCUAUUGGAUUUUAAGAUUUUGAUUAUUGAAUAAUUUAGAAGGUAGGAUCUUUGUAUUUCUCAUUUAUCCUCUUGUUGGAAUUAAUUUUAGGUUCAACAAAGGGAAACUGUUGUACGGGCAACUGGUGCUCGUCGGAUGCGUCGACGACCAGCCUCUGGUGCAAGCACAUCAUCGGCCCCGACAGCAACUGUAGAAGGUUAGUGGUGUGUAACUUGCUUUCUUUCUUUAUUUUCGCCCUCAUAUUUAUCCUAUGUAGUAAUUUGCUCUUUUAUUUUGGUCUUGAUACCUGUUUAUGUGAAACCUUUGUUCCUCCUAAGUUUCCAUUGGUCUCAACGGUAGGUUAAUAGUUCUUGAAAAUUUAUCUAGAUAGGUAUCUUAUGGGUGAAGCUUGGGGAAAAUAUAUGAUAUCUCUUCGGUUAAGUCAGGAAAAGUUAUCUUGUUGCACCUUUGGAGUGCAUCGGAGAUAUACUAUUGUCAUGCUGGAUUGCUCGAAGAAUAGGGUUUUGUGGGAGUUAUUGUUUACUCUUUUUGGGGUGACUUGGGUUCUUUCAUUCUCGGUUAGAGAGACUCUACUUGGUUGACAUGGGUCCUUCAUGGGGAAGAAGCAUAAAAAGGCUCGGAUGCUAGCUCCUAUAUCUUUUUUGGGCAGUGUGGAAGAAAAGAAAUAGGAUAGCUUUCGACGAUGAAGAGCUUUCAAUUCAUAGGUGAAGAAUUCUUUUGUGUGUAGUUUUUGGUCUUGGACUAAGUUGUAUAUGGAUGAUGAACCUUUACUUUUAAUCAACUUUUUUGAUUGGUUGGGUUCUAGGUGAGGCAAUAUGUAUUUUUGUUGUUAUAUGGAAUUUAACCUGGAGCCUUCCCAUCCCUGCCCCAACCUCUCCUCCACAAUCCCUUGUCACUAGCCUUAAGGGCAUCUACAUUCUCUUACAGUAGUAAAAGAAUGUGAAUUGGCUGUAUAUUAGACCCCACUAUUGCUCCAUCCUCCUUAUCUGUGCACAAUUUGGGUGCAUUAAGGUUAGACGGUUUUACUGUUUUUACCAGUUCAAAGAUAUAUCUUUCUGUCUACUGCCAUAGCAAGUGAAGUGACUAUCUGAAAGUGUGACAGAAAUUGUUGAUGAAAGUGAUGAGGAUGUUGCUGUUGAUGAGUAUGAAGCUAAACAUUCAAAGAAAAGAGAGAGGAAACGCCAAGAGCGGGAAGCACAGCGACAGGUUUCUUCUUUUUGUUUUUCCUUUCAUUUUCAAUUAGUUUCAAUUAUGCUUUCACCAUAUUUCUAAGUGUAAUGAGGUUCUGAAUGUCAGCAACUGCAUGUCUGUGAAACAAUUUUUUUAACCAAACCCCAGUUCUCUUGCAAUACAUGCUUCUAAAACCUCUAGUUUUCCUACAUGAUCCUUGUGAUUUUUGUUCUUAUUCUUUUCCUUGUUUUGAAGCUUUAGUAAUUUGCAACUCUAAGUUCUGAUUUGUAAUCUUGAAGGCCGACGAAGCUGCACGUGAGUCAAGGCUAACAAAACAAGACAGAUAUGCAGAAACGAGGAGGAGGAAGGAUGAGGAGCGCGAAGCAAAGGAGCGCCAGCUUGUGAGUUUGUCUUCUUUGCUUUUCUGGUUCAGGAAUAUACUUUCUUGUGUUCCCUUCCUAAGAAUUUCAACAUGGUUUAUUCAGGAAGAAGAAGCUAAAGCUCAAAAGGCCAAGGAGGAUGAAGCAGCUGCAUUGGAGUUUGAGAAGUGGAAAGGAGAAUUUUCUGUUGAUGCAGAAGGUACAACAGAAAAUGAAAUGCAAGAUGGAAAUCAGGGGUUGCUUGUGGAUUUUGUGGAAUACAUAAAGGUGGUAUUUUUGUCCCUGUGCUACUUAGAUUCUUUUUGUAGGGUUCUUUCUUAUAUUUCAUAACAUUGGAAAAUUGGAUGCACAUUGAAACCAAUUACAGGAGUCGUCUUUAGUCAUUCAAUAUAUUUUUUUUAACAGUAAAGUUUAAUCUUCUAGUCUGAGUGAUUGGACAUUAAUUUCGAAGUUUGAGGAAUUGAACAUGAAUUUUGAAGCUUGAGUAAUUCAAAAUUUUUGUCUAAAUUUUUUUUUUGAGUGCAUCUGCUAGCUUAUGCAAAAAAUUAUACGGACACUGGCCAAUGGGUAUGUCUCUAGAGGAUAAUUAGAGUAAAGGCUGUAAUGGUGCUGAUAUUUUUAUGCGAUCAUGCAGAAACAGAAAUGCGUGCCCUUGGAAGAUCUUGCUGCAGAAUUUAAGUUGCGAACUCAGGUAUUCCCUGCACCUACUCUUUGUAACACAUACACAUACUCUCACAUAUACAUACACAUGGUGGUGCAGUAAUAGGUGAGGUGAUUGACAAUAAAUAUAUAAAAUAAACAUGUUAUGCUCAAUCAUCUGAGCCUAGUUUAACUGUAAUCUAGGAGAUGGGGAUUGGUUAUGUCGGUUUAGGAUAGUAUCACAUUAUUUGGUUUUAUGUAUGACAUAUUUAUGUUGCUUCUUAAUCAAUGUCUACCCCUGCUUUUAUGCAGGACUGUAUUAAUCGGAUAACCUCCCUGGAAAAUAUGGGUAUGUACCAUCUUUUGACAUUCUUUGUAUAGAAUAGAACCUAUUCUUUCAAUCACUCAACAUUGCAUUCUUCCAAAUUUUCUGGGUUGACAUCCCAACAUACACCACAAUUUCUGCUUGCUAAGCAAUUUAUCAGUAAAAAAAAUUCAACUUUAAAUUCUUCAAUGUCCUCAUUAGUUAUAUCUGUCCCUUCUGUCCCUUCUGCCACAUUCCACUUGCAUGGCUCUUUGCCCAUGCCCAUUAUUGAUUGUUUCCUCUGAACACAACCUAGCUGUGUAAACCAAUGCUUUAUUGUCUUAUUAUUUGCUUCUGAUAAAUCCUGGUUUUUAGUGGGGUGGUCCUGGUUCUAAUCUUUUAUCUUUUGUAGUGUUGCCAUUCAUCUUGUUAAGUUUCUUUUCUAGUAUUGCAUCACAUAUAGUGGUCGUAUGUCACUCUGAAAAUGCAGCUCUAGUUCCAACAUCCAGUUUGAAUCCCAUUGGAAAUGUGAUCAUUGCUUUACCUUGAUCAAUGUAAAGUUAGUGUAUUCUGCUAUUCUUCUCUGGUUUUCCUUGAUUUACAGUUCUUAGAAGCUCUGUGGUUUGUCCUUCCAACACUUAACAUGAAUUUGAAUUAUGCAUCUAAUCUAGUCAAGAAUUUAACAUCUAGAUAUGCAAUGCUUAGUCUUGGGAAGUAACUAUGGAUUUGUUCUCUGCAUUAGGUCGACUCUCUGGUGUCAUGGAUGAUAGAGGAAAAUUCAUAUACAUCUCACAAGAAGAAAUGCAUGCUGUUGCUGACUAUAUCAAGCGUCAGGGGCGGGUUAGCAUCUCACACCUAGCUAGUAAGUCCAACCAGUUCAUUGAUUUGGAGCCAAAAGCACAGGUUGUUGAUGAUAUCAGUGGUGUAGAGGAGAUGGCUGUCACUUGACUCGGUAUAGAACCCUAGUUUUAUGUUGUAAUACAUACAGAAACAAUAUGCCAAGUGCAUGAUGUUGAAUAGGAGCAGAAUUUGAAUCAAUUUUGUAUAGAUGGAUUCACAUGAUAAGCUUUAGAAAAAGGUGUGAAGCUGUCACACAUUUGCAGGCAAUGGAAUUUUGUAGGUUGGGCAUUUAAGCAUAUACGAGGAAAUGUUUUUCUACCAGACUUUAAUUUGGAUUGGACAAGUUCUUCUUCAUUGCAUAUCCACCAAAUGGAUUAGUUGACACUUCUGUCAAGGAAAUCCAACUGCAGAUCUUUAGGCGUUGGGAAAAGAAAUGGUUCCAGGCUCCUAGUUUUAUUGUGCACUUUAUUUUUGAAAUUUAAUUAAAUAACAACGGUAUAAGACAUGAUUAUUUUAAUUUGUUUUUCAUAAUUUAACAUUCUUUUAUUAUUAUUAUUAUUAUUAUUAUCUAUUUAUUUAUUUUUUAAAAAUUUUAAUUUAAAAUUUUUGAAAUUUAAUUAAAUCACAACUAUAUAAGACAUAUACUGAAAAUUUCUUCUAUACUUAUUCCUAUUCUCAUUGUGUCCCCAUUCUUCUGUCCUUUUAUCAAAUGCAAACCCUAACGUUGAACAUUUGGCUCGUCUUAGAUAAUUUUAGUUCCCAUUUUGCCACGAAGAAAGGGCAACAACAGCCAGCUAUCCAAACCCAGUAAAGAGUGGUCUUAUAAAAUUCCAAACAACAUCGUUUUAAAACCCUACCAACUUUCAUAACAGCACGUAACGCCCUUCUAAAUAUCAACUAGUCUCUUGACUCUCCACUGUCCCUCCGAAGCCGCCGCUAAAACCAGAGGUAGAGGAUCCUCAUAAACCAGCAUGCAUUGUCUCUUAUAACCCAGUCUAUAUGUCAGCUCAAUUGGGAUUUUCCUAAUACCACUCCACUUUUCUCCUCCCACUUCUCAUCUCUCCCAAGGUUUAGACAGAAAAAUCUGGAGUAUGAAAACAAAAACAUGCAUGAAGAUACCAUGGAAUAUUGUACUAUUCUCUUGUGUAUUACUCUUCUAUAUUUCUCCUAAGGUUCAAGUCUGUCGAGGACAAGACGAAGAUAUCGACGCGCCACCACCUCUGCCACUGGAAGAAGAAGAAUGCAACGGAAUAUUCCUGUCCUACACUUUCAUAUCGCGACAGAAGGCAUUCCCACGACUGAAGAAUGCAUCAGCGCAGGCUUGGGCUUUUAAGUCCACCGCCACGGUGAUGAAUACAGGGUUAGAUGAGUUGAAGGCAUGGAAGAUAUUUAUAGGGUUUCAGCAUGAGGAGAUAUUGGUGAGUGCAGAUGGGGCUGUUAUAGCAGAUGGGGAUGAUUUUCCGGCGGCGGUCGGGAACGGGACCUACUUGUCGGGGUAUCCGCAGGCGGAUUUAAAGACCUCUGUUGAGACUGCAAGUGAUUUGAAUCAGAUGCAGGUGCAGAUUCCGAUGACUGGGACGCAGUUCGGGUUGAAGCCUCCGGCAGUUCCUAUGCCAAGGACUAUAAGGCUUGAAAAUGAUGGAUAUAAAUGCCCUAAUCCUACUCGUCGUGGUAAGUUUUGCUUGUUUUUCUUGCAGUGAUUAUCUAGCUAACACCAUUGCUGCCAAAGUUGUCCUAACAUGGUGGUCAUAUGAAGUUCAAUUCUUAUAGCCAACAAUUAAUGGAAAAAAGGAAAAACUAUGGAGGAUUUUUUGAGCUUUCAUGCAUGAUUUGGUAAGCUAAAUUGGCUUACUGAACUUGGUUUCAUCUAUUUUCUCUGACAGGGAGCUCAAUGCAUGUAUGCUGUGCAAAGGAUCCAAAAUACAAGGCCAGAGAGGAAAAAUCAACGAAGUUCUCGCCUCGACGGAACGGUGAUCUCUCCUUCUCUUACGAUGUCCUCCAAGCCUCGGACAGCAACUAUCUUGCCCAAGUAACCAUUGAUAACAAAAACCCUAUUGGCCGUCUGGACCAUUGGAACUUAACUUGGGAGUGGAUGAGAGGAGAGUUCAUAUACAACAUGAGAGGAGCCUUCACUCGUAAAAAGGACAGCUCAGAAUGCAUAUACGGGGAAGCCGGACAGUACUACAAAACCUUUGAUUUCUCUGCUGUCAUGAACUGCGAGAAAAGACCAGUCAUUGUAGACCUGCCUGCUGAUAGAGCAAAGGAUGAGAAAGUUGGGAACUUACCAUAUUGCUGUAGAAAUGGCAGUCUUCUACCGAGCACCAUGGACGUGAGCAGAUCAAGAUCCGUUUUCCAAUUACAAGUUUACAAGCUUCCACCUGACCUGAAUCGAACCGCUCUUUUCCCACCCCAGAACUGGGAAGUUGACGGCGUUCUUAAUCCACAUUACAAGUGUGGCCCUCCUAUUAGAGUAGACCCAACAGAAUUUCCAGAACCGAGCGGCCUUCAGUCUACCGUUAUAGCCGUGGCAAGUUGGCAAGUGGUCUGCAACAUCACUCGCCCUCGAGCCAAGCAUUCCAGAUGUUGCGUUUCCUUUUCCGCCUUCUACAAUGAUUCCGUUGUGCCCUGCAACACCUGCGCUUGCGGCUGUGAGGAAUCAGACACUUGCAGUGCCGACGCCAACCCUUUGCUCCUCCCUUCGGAGGCUCUGCUUGUGCCCUUUGACAAUAGAACAGCCAGAGCAAAAGCUUGGGCUAAAGUUAAACACUAUCCUGUUCCAGAUCCAUUGCCUUGUCCGGACAAUUGUAGGGUUAGCAUUAAUUGGCACAUCUAUACUGAUUACAGGACUGGAUGGACCGCCCGGAUUUCAAUCUUCAAUUGGGAUGAUGUGAUUUUUGAGGACUGGUUUGGAGCAAUUGUGAUGGAGAAAACUUAUCCUGGUUAUGAAAAUGUGUACUCAUUCAAUGGGACCAAGCUGCCACAGCUCAACAAUACCAUCUUCUUUGAAGGCUUACCAGGUCUGAACUACUUAAUGGGAGAGACAAAUGGGACUAACCCGAAACGUGAUCCAAGAGUACCUGGAAAGCAGCAGUCAAUAAUUUCAUUUACCAAGAAACAGACGCCGGGGAUCAAUUUAGCUAGAGGGGAUGGAUUUCCUUCACGGGUGUUCUUCAAUGGGGAAGAAUGCUCUCUUCCUGCACAGCUUCCCUUGAGAGGAGGGCAAAGUCGAACUCAUGUCAGCUUCUUGCCAGUGGUUUUCCUCACAGUGGUAAUUUGGGGUCUCCAUUGAGAAUCAUUUGGGGCCUCCCAUUGAUUCUGUAAAGCCUGGGUUUAGUAUUAGUAAAUUUUGAAAUGCAGAAAAAGGAAAUUGUAACAUAUUCAAACAGAUGUUAUAUUUAUGUAUAAUUUCUAAGUAUGCUGUAAUAUCUUAUUCAGAUUGAAUCGAUUUUCUAAUUAAAAUUGAAUGAUUCUCCAUUGAUCUUUCUAUUUCCUAGUAGGCUUUGGCCUUGCUUAGGAUGUCUCAGUUUGCAGCUUUUGCGCAUCUUCUGUGGUUUGUCAGUUUGUAAGUAUGCCUACUUAGAAAAAAGAUGGUUUCAACUUGUGACAUUCAAGUAAUGAAUCCUAUGCUGAAGACUAUUUCAAGUGAAAGGGCCUCUAUCAUUUCUCAUACCGGAGUGAUUUCUCUAAUGAUUCAGCAAUUAACAUCUUAGCCUUUUCAUGUAUCCAUAUCAUGCUGCCCAGCUGGUUUAAUGCUUUUCUGAUCCUUUUCUGACCAAACCCCAAUUUUAGGAUUGCUCAAAUGGUUGCUAAACUUUAUCCCUCGUUACUCGCACAUUGCAGGUCAUGUCAAGAAAAUAUUAUGGAAGGAUAGCAAGGGUUUGAUGGAAACCAUUACAAUUAUAUCAGCAGCAUGCUUGCCGUUUGGUGGCCAAGGAAACUGAGGAAGGAAAGUAUCCAAUCAACAGCUGAUUGAUAUGCAGUUUGGUGACCGAGAAAACUGGGGAAAGGAGAGUACCCAAUCAACUGCAGCAUCAUUUGUUGUUUGGUGGCCCAGAAAGCUGGGGAAAGGAGAAUAGCCAAUCAACAGCAGUAUGCAUUGUAUUGUAUGAUAGAUCCCACCAUUCACAGCUAUGUUUCCACAAAAAAUAAAAAAUAAAAUAGAGGAAAGGAAAUGCAGAGACAGUACUUCCACAAAAAUUUAUGAAGAUUUUUAUUGAUAUUAAACCAUGAAAAAGAUAAUCCUUCUUUGUAUUUCAUGUUUAACUGUUACAAUCCACAAAAAUUGGUAGUACAACAUAUGAAAGUCUUACAAAGAAUGUUUUGGAUAUACAAAUAAUGAACUCAUACAACAAUUGCUUCCUCUGGAACAUUUUCUGGUUGGAGCAGGAGCAAAAUAAUUCCUGUCUUUGAACUCCAAGUCAAGAUUUAAGCGGAAGUAUAUUAUCAUCUUGCUAAUCAAGUCACAGCAUGCAAACCUAACAACCUCUGAUUAUUUUGUGACGAUCCAAAAAAUCAUUUAUUUUCAUCUGAAGCUCAUGUAUAAAUUCCAAUCUUUCUAUACCUUCUUGGCCUGCAGUUACAUCAUAUGAGCAGUGAGUUGUGGGCAAAGACAAGUUCUCUUCAGAAGUGAAAAUGAAACAUGGGGAAAGUGAAAAAGAAAGAAGCAUUAUCAAAUAGUACACUCUUGUCAAGUUAGUGGCAGAGAUGUCCAUACAACCUCAUCCAUGAAAUGAUCAUGUAGCUAAUUGAUUGAUUGGCCACUUCAAAGGCGAGAAAAGUUUAUGCAUGAGGGUAUCAAAACUACUGUUGAUUUAAUUUUAUUUUUCUUUUCUUGCUAAAAUAUGAAACUUGUGUUACGUGAACGCAUAAUGUAUGUGAAGUACUUGUGCAAGGCAUGAUAUAGAAAGGGUAUAGAUAUGGAUAUGUGCAACAUGUUUAUUGGUGGCAUAUUUAACCCAACAGGUGACCAGUUCCUAGUUCAUUUUCAAUAAACUUAUAUAUAUUUUAGCUAUAUACUUCAAUUUAUUCACUGGGAUUGAAAGAGAAAGAAUGCAAAUCAGGAUAUAUAACUGUGUGUCCUCAUGGCCUAAGAUCUAUCAACUAAACAAAUCUGGCAUUUAAACAAACACCAACAUCCAACAUUUGUACCUGAAUCCAUGUGACAUGAAUAUGAAACAUACUAGAUUGAAAAAUGUCUAGAUAAUUUGUUUCAAAACGAGGAUCUAUAUGCAAAUUAAUCAUGAUGAGCCAAUGAGCCAAUUGACAUAUAGGCCUGUUGUCUGGACAAAUAUCUAGCCACCUCUGCAAAAGGAUUUUCCUGAUACUUAGAAUUUCCAUUGUCCUGUGAAACUUGUCCAAGAGCAUUUGUACACACAAUAAUAGGAUUAACAGCAGAGAGUCAAGUAAACUAGGGAGCAUUGAAUGCUUGAACAAAUUUUGAUGUUGUUUUUAGUUUCUCCUGAAUUUGUAACUCAUUAAGCCUUCAUUAAUAUGUCAACUAAGUUUAAUAUGCCAGCUUUUUCAUAUUUUGCUGUCCAUUUUUUUUCUAACAUCUAGGAGAUUCAAAAUGUAACGUUCAGUAUAAUCCACCACAACAAUCGAAGGAAAUUAAGUACCUUUUUUAGAUAUUUCCUGUGAAGUUUCAUUGCCCCGGUGCAAGCCUUUUUGGCAUCCAGAUUCCCAGUUAUGUCAUUCAAUAUCUGAAAAGGAUUUUCAAGAAGGGAAGGAAACUGAAUGAGGUGAGUACCAAAGUAAAGUUGCAGAACUGAAGCUUAAAAUUUUCUGAGUUGAAGCAAAGCUACUAGGAAGAUUGGAUUGUUUUACCAAAAUAAAAUGAACAAAAAAUGCUUUAUAAUUAUCCAACUAAUUGGAACUUUGUGCUCUAAUAUUUUUCUCCAGGAUUGAAAUUUUUUAUUGGGAAUACAUUAGUAAUAUUAAAAAAAUAAAAAAUAAAAGCCUCAAACCAUGUGAUGAUGAAAAUAAUAACUUCAAAUCCAAAGUUUCUAAUGAAAAUAGGGACAAGUAGAAUAACUUGGCAACACAUUUUCUGAAGCAAUAACCGCAAUAAAGGAACACACCAAACCAAGUUUUAACCGAAAAAGGGGAAAACUUUGUAACAAAUACGCAAAAAAAAAAAAAAAAAAAAAUAAACACAAAAAGACAAAAAAAAAAAGAAAAAACAAAAACAAAAAUGAAUACAUAAAUAAAUAAAUAAAAAUAUCUAAGGUUAGUAACUGAUUUUUACCAUCAGCCUAAAAAAUGAUUUACAAACUGAAGAUUUCUAAAGCUUUGCAAGUAAUUAUCAAGCUGACCUUAACAACAUCAUCCAAUCCCCGAGCUUCUGUAAGUAGCUUUGAGCUCUUCUCUUUCAAGACACUGGCAACGAGGAAAACAGAAAUGGGGAGGGGAGCUUCUCCAUUUUUUAUUUUAUUUUUCAUAUUUUCCCUCUCAAACUUUCCAUACUGGUGCAUCGACUUUGGUUUUCCUUUAGAUCCCUCAGCUUUUUCAUUAGCUGAGUCAGUCUCUUCAUACAUGGAGAAGAAAUCUGGAUCAUACUCCAAAGCCCACAUCAUCUGUUAAAAGCUCAACAUUCAUACAUACAAAAGGAUCAGAGGAAAGAAGAAAUUUCAUGUUCAACAAUCAGAGUUCUGGAAAAUUGGACCAAUUGGGUCAGUCAUCUAUGGUCAGGAUUGCUUUUUUUCCCAUUCCUUUAGGCCAUACUUAUCAACCUUACAAACAGACACAACCCUAGUAAAAACCAAUACUCUAAUUGAAACUCCUUUCAAAUAAAGGAACCAAAAUAUAAAAACAAUAUUUUUAAAAAUGCUCCAGUAGAAUUUGACCAACACAAGAUUUUAGGAAUUUUCAAGAUGAAUUUCACAUAUUUGAUCAGGUGUUAAUUAGGCACAGCACUGCAGUGUUAGUCCACCACUGGAUCUUAACUUAAAGUGUAUACCUGUUGGUACUAUACGAGAUAGAAAUGGUAACUCCAGCAAUUUCUUUGUCAUCAAUACCUCCUAAUUUCCCCAAAUUGGUUGUUUCAAUACUUUUCAAUGGUUAUAUAGGUAUCCAAAGUAUGAAAUGAUUCAAAAAUAUUUAGUUAAGAUGUGACUGAAUUUUAUGGUUACACGGAAUCAUAGAAUUCUCUGAUAUUUCAGCUAAUUUCAAGUAUUUUAUUUCUAUUAGAAAUUUUAAUAUCUUGUUUACGUGUAUCUUUUGUAGAUAUAGCUAACUGUAUAUUUAUAUUGUUUUUAUAGGCAAAUAAGAAUAUACAUAGAUAUGAUAUAACUAUAUAUCUAUGUUAUACUCUAGGUGUUGUUCUCCUGUGCUUAAUUUGCAAAAAAAUUGUUGUCUAAUUGGAUUUAAAAAAUUUCUCUCACCCUAUUAAAAUGUAGGAUGUUUCUUCUAUAAAAGAAUAACCUCGAAAAUUUUAAAAAGUAGCAAGAGAAAUAUGGCUCCUGGAUUCACAGGUAAAAGUAGAUGCUGACCAAGGACAAUGCAAAAGAAAGAAAAAGAAAGUUUUGUUGUCUAGUAGUAUACAUGUGCAUGGACUUCCAUUGAAAUCCUCUUUAUUCUUAAUAAAUGGUCAUAUCCCUGGUUGACUAAAUUUGCAUUAAGUAAUAGUAAAUAUACUAAGUAUGAAAAAAUUGUGCCUUAAUUGCUUGAACAAAAUUUAUCCUGCAUGUAAACCGACACUUCUCAAUUUUCAGAUUUGACAAGACCAAGUCCUUCCAUCAGAAAUAUAUAUGUAUAUAUAUAUAUAUAUAUAUAUAUAAAUGGAAAAAAAAUUGAGAUUAUCAGAGUCUGGUGUUUCAAGGAAUAAAAUCAAGCAAUCCAGAACAAGGCUCUCCUUUCAAUAAGCUAAUUUUGAAUAUUGGAAAGGUCAAACAGAGGCUAAAUCCUACCUCCCAAAGAUACAAUGAGUCACCAAAAGAAAAUUCUCUGCGAAACAAAACCAUAAGCAUUCGGAAAGCAAAUAGAUAGUCACCUCCACCUAGUGUCUCUGUACAAUAAGAUCAAAAUAUGAACUUUUUAUAUGAUGAGUAUAGAAUUAUAUCAAAAGGUAAAUGAGAAAAAAUAAAAAAUAAAGAACUCAUAACAACUUACAUAGAAUAAAUUUAACGAUAUAGGAUAAAGAAAUGGGAAAUAAAAAUAUUCUUAAACAGUUAAAACUGAAGUUGGCUAUACCUAGGAUGCAUCCCAGUGAUCUAAACUUAUUUAUGCUAAUUCUGGGGAAGAAAUCAUUCUGGGCUAAUCCUAAUCAUAGGUGUAGGAAUAAGAAGGGCAUGGAUUAGCAACUAAACUAACCAAAUAAAGUGCUAAGAUUUUCUAGGACUGGAAGGCAUAAGAAGGUUUCCAUUAAUCAGUCCAUCUAGUAAACUUGUUCUUGAAUUUUCUUUUUGGAAUGUUAAGAGGCCAGAUGUGCGUAUGGGUGGGUGUGAGAGUUCUUCCUCAAUUGAGUCAUAUACAAAUUCCAAGUGACAUGCUUGUAACAUAAAUUUCAAGGGACCAUCAUAUGAUGGAGCAAGCAGAAACAAAAGUCAGACUGAUGCCCAAGUCACAGGCCUAAAAUGACAUGAACAUUUCAGGAUAAAACAUAGAUAAUAAACUAAAAUAUAAGGAGUAAAAAGGCAUGAAUUAAAGACAAUACCUAAGUGCUGAUGAAGUUUUGGAUCAAUAACUUGAGUAAUUAAAGCUAAAUUACUAAGCUGUGUCUCCACUCCAACAGAGCUGUCGGUGCAUCUGAAAUUCCCUCGCUUCAAAAUUUCAAAUAACAACACAGAUCAUGAGCAACUUGGAAUUAAAUUAAAAAGGAAAAAAAGAUUUGAUGAAAUCACAAACUAAUAUAAUUCAUUGAGUACAAUGUUUAACAUAUCAUAUAGUCAGAAACAUAGCAAGACUACUUCUCAAUGAAGCAGGAAGAUUUUACAGAUAACAUGGAGAGGAAGAUUUCACAAGCCUCAGUAUCAUGUGGAUGGACAAAUUGUGCAUAGCCAGACAACUUAACACUGAAAACCAAUAAAAUAGGAUAGGUUUCCUACCCAUCAGCUGGUAUCAUCCAAGGUUAAGACAGGCCCCUCUUCUACCCCCAGUGCCUCCAACGAAUUUGGCAAUAGUUCAUAAAAAGUUAAUUUCAGGUUUGGGACUGGUAGUAAAAUAAUCUCAAACCUUGAUGAAUCGUGCUCCAAUCAAGGUUGAUGGAUCAUACUUCAACAAAGUAAUUUGGAAAAAGGAAUAUUGACAUAACUAAGGCAUAUGUUCCUUGGGAGAGUUUGAAAUAUUGCCAUGUUGCGAUAACUCAAUUUCAAAUUCUAAUAGGCUGAAGGAGGAAUCUGGAGGAGAAAAUUUAAGAUGAAUUAAAGCCAUCUAACAUCACCAGGCCUUUGAGGUAGUGAUCUGAUUCUAUCUUACAAAGAGCAAGGACAAGACUUCCAUGACAAUGUCAAAGCCAAUGUGUUCACCGUGCAAUAGGCAAACAAGAGCAGAACAGGGACAAAAGUGUUGCUUUCCCAAAAAUAGGUCAAACUAAUAAAUCCAUGAAAAAAUUCAUUGGAAAAAAGAAAAGAAAAGAAACCCUCAAGGAAGAGAUGAGACAACAUCCUGCAAUCCAUGCAGAAGAGGAAAGGAGACUGAAGGCAUAAGAGGCCAAGAGGACACAACUAGUAGCUGUAGAUAACAGUGUGCACAUUGUUCUACAUCAAUUCUGAAGAAACACAUUCAGAGACUGGAGAAGAGAGAAACAAAUUUAACAGAAUAGAUCUAACAAUCUCCUCAACUUUGCAGUUCACUGAAAAAAAUCUAAUAAAAAUCAGAAUAUUACUGUAGCCUUUCACACAAUAGGUCCUCAAAGCAUAUCCCACAACUAAAGCAGAAAUCAAGUAUGCUCGACAAUUUGUGCUUACUUAUCAAAAAAAAAAAAAAAGUAUGCUCGACAAUUGAAAUAUUAUUCAAUUAAAAAGAAGUACCAAUCUGCGCAUCAAAUGUUCAAAGCACCAAAAUGCAUCUGCUUCGUCUUCAAGAAGCAUUAUCAUUGGGGAGCAGAGAUCACUCAUGCCUGCCAAGCAUUUUAAUAAAGUUCAGACUUCAGAACAAGCAAUUUGUUGCAAAAAUUAGAUACAACACUUAUAUCAAACCCUGUUAGUUGCAAAAAUUAGGUAGCCUCUUUACCAUCUGUUGCCUAUCCAGUUUGAAAACCACUUAAAAUUUUGUGGGAGAGAGGGAUGAACUAUAUACUAGAAACUAAUAUUUUUCAUCAUUUUAGUGAGUCACAAUUAUAAAAUAAAGUUCAUUUGAUAGCCCACCUUGACAGUAGCCAAUAUCUGUGUCUAUCCAUGCAUAAACAGCUAGAAUAUCCCAAAGUUUUGCCAGAUUUUCUUGCUUCUCAUAAAAAACUAAUGUCCUGUCAGUGCGAACCACAUCGAGACCUAACAUAAUAUGAAUCCAAUCAUAAAGAAUUACAAAAAUCCAAAACAUAAAUGUUGGAAAUACAAAAAAGAUGCCACAAGUUAAUGUAAAAGUUAUUGGAACCAGCAUGAUAUGCAUAACUACAAUGAAUUCUUACCAGGAAAACAAUUGAUGAUUUAAACCUCAAACAAGAACCAAAACAUUAAAGGGGUGUAGUUUGAAACCAAAAAGGGAAAAAGAAAGAGACAAACUUAGUGGAUUAUAUACCUUUUUUCUUUCUGUGAUAAGCAAUGAAAUAUGUAUAUAAAUGUAAAGGAAAGAUGUACACCAGAGCAAUGAGUUAUACACUUUUUUUGAAAUCCAUUAAUUUUUUCUCAAAUAAUUGGGGGUAGUUCCACCAACCAAAAAAAGGGUCACUUACAUUUCCAUUAAUCAUGUAUAUAAAGAAUGCAAAAAAACGUAGAACUAUUUACAUCAACUAUAAUAAAAUAGUUACAACAAAGUCAAUCGAAACAAAUGAAAUUGUGGACAGGAAUCAGAAAAGGAAAUUCUGGGGGCAGUUGAUGAAAGAAGGCAACAUCUGGGUUUCCUAUUGAGCGGGUUUCCCAAAAUAAAUAAAUAAAUAAAAAGGUAACAAGAUCAAAUAAUCAGGGUUCUCUUAUAAAUGAGAGGUAGAUGUCCUCAAAAUAAGGGGAAAACUAGAGCAAAAAGAAUAGAGCAGAGAAAGAGAGCAAGAAAUAGAGGGGAUAACUGAAAGAGACAUUGCAAGCUUCUCAAGCACAUCAUUCUGCAAAUCCAAGUUCAAGUAGUUUCACCUGAGGUGAUGUGCUGGCAUAACCUUCUUGGUCAUCCUACCCUUUAGUUUUUUGUCGUAACUUUCUUGAAUUGUUUUCUUGAUUGAGCAUGAAACAUGUGACACGAUAGAAAUGCUGCUCCUAGAAUUCCGAUCAAAUAUAUGGGGCCACAUAGAUUACUUCUUUUGGCUUGAAGUGCUUCCUUACAUUUGCAGGUGACUGCUCCCAUAUUAUUUUGAUUUUCCUUCUUAAACAAGAAAGUCAUGUCUUCUCUCUCCUAAGAUUAGGGAUGCAAAUUAAUGGGAAAAUUAAAAUUUUCAUCCAGAUAAUCAGGGAGUUCAUCUAUGGUGACCUAGGAUCUUAUCAAAAGAAGGGUCAACAUGAAAACAUCUUGACAAAACACCAAAACCAAAUGGAGUUGCUGAAUAAAAAAGCCAAUACCCUUUGGAAGUUAACAGGCUCUCUUGUUUGUUAUGAAUAUUACUAAAGUGCAUUGAUCUAAUGCCAUCUGAAGUCGCCUAUCCUACAUAAUUGAACCACCACUGAAGUUUUUAAUGUUACAAUUGACAUCAACUGGAAGUUCUUUUUACUGGAAAUCUUUAUUUCAGUCUGUAGAUAUGUUUGCAUUAUCCAUUUUUCCAGUAAGUUCCACAGUAAAUUUGAACCUUAAGCUUUAAAACAUAUUUGUUUCAAGUACUUGCAUCCAGCUAACUGCAAGCAUUCUUUCCCCUGGAUGUCACCUUUUUUGAAUCUGUCACUUUUUUUCUGACUUGAAAGACACCAAUUGAGAGGUAAAACAAGAGAAAAUUAUCUCUGCUAGUUGCACUUCUUGCUAUUCCUAUUCCACCUCCUAAUACUUAUAGAAAUGAUAGUGACCUCCAAAAGAAUUGAGGUAUUGAUUUAUUAUGACAAAGGCAAAGAAAUAACCCAUCAACCUUAUUGAACUCUGAUUUUCUUAAGACAUGCCGCACCACAAACAUUUUUUUUUUAGAAGAGUACCUAAAGACAAAAUAGGACAGUUCAAGCUGGGUAUUCCUGGGCCACAAAAUGAAAAAGGCAAAUAAAAACCUCAGAGUGCUGGGUAUUGGGCCACAAAAAAUUAAGCUAUUAGGAAUUUUAAGGUAAUAAAAUAGGACAGUUCAAGCUUAGACCACAAUCCCAAGACUGAAAAAUAUGCUUUCAGGAGACAAUUUAGAAUCAUCAUAUUUUACCUGUGCAUGAAGGUGGAGAAAUGAUUGAUGGAUUGUCCAUGCCAAAUUAGUACAAGAUGUGGGAGUACAGUGGUAAUACCAAGCAUUGUUUGAUAAGCAGGAGUGGAACAUAGAAAAUACUAAAGAGAAAUAUGCAUGUAAUAACAAUGGAUACCACCAACCUAUUUGAUGUAGUGUAAGCUUCCACUGGAUUUCCUUCUUGUCAAUUGGAGGAUGAUUAAUUGGUUUCUUUGUUUCUGAGCUGUUGGAAGUUGAAAGCUCCGAGUCUUGAGCAUCACCAUUAUCAUGAGGUAAAGCCGAACCCUUCUGUGGAUUUGCUUCAAGAAGUACCAAAGGAUCUUGAAUGGGCUGACCAUCGUCAGUAAUAAUAGGUGCUGUGAUAUAUCUGCCACUCCCAAUAACAGGAAACAUUUGGCAGCACUGUUCCUUCCAUUUAGCAUAUUGUUCCCUGAAGAUGUAGAAAUAAGAAUGGCACUUUACCAAACAAUAUCCUAGGAAGUCAGAAUAAAAACAGAGACCAAAAAAAGAGCGUUUGUGUUUCAUCAAUUUCAACUCCAAAGACAAUAUAUAUUUUCAGGGAUAAGAAAGCAUGAGGUAUUUCAAUAAUUUUAACUAAAAAUGAUAAUGCAUGCACAAGCAUGAGAAUAUUUCAACAAUUUCAACAGAAAAGAUAAUACCUAUCUGAUGAAAGGUAAAGUACUUUUUUCUUUUCCUACUAGCAUGUUAAGAGAAACAAUAACCAAAGUACAUAAUUUUUAACUCCAUGAUGUGGGAAGAAUAUAGGACCCUGAAUUGAUGAUAGUGUUUUGAAAGAGUAGCACAAAAUGGGGCACUUUAAUUAUUUCAGUGCAGUAAAGUCGUUUCCAUGGCUUGCUUCAAGAGGAUGAAGCUAGCUUUCCAACAAUGCAGGUUUGGGCCUCACCUAGAACACCUGAGUUGGAAAAAAUUGUGAGCAUUAACCAUCUGAUGUGAAGAGAGAAUUCUGACAAACUGAUAUUUUAUGUGCAACUGCAAGGAGGAGUCUUCCAGUCAUCUCCUCCUUCAUUAUUUGGUAGAUAGGAGCUGUUCUCUAAUUUUCUUCCUUUCUUGGAAUUAAUUGGGUCUGUCCAUGAUUGCUUAAAAGAAGACUUAUGAGUUUAAAAGUGAAGUAAGAUAGUACGGAAGGUUGCUCCCCUUUGAGUAGUUUGGUAUAUUUGGAAUGUGGAGCAGAAGGGAAGGAUAUUUUGGAGGUUGAAUGCUCUUCAUUUAAGCUGAAGAAUAUUACUUUUAGAUCUUUUAAUGUUUGGAAUGGAAGGAUAUUACUUUGAGAUCUUUUAAUGUUUGAGAUCUUUGAGAUCUCCUCAUUCUUCGAUUAGUUUGGGUGAUUCUAGACAUAAGAGUAAUUGAAUUGGUUCUUCCUCUGUUUUUAUGUUUCUUUGUCUUCUCUUCUCUCUUUUCUUUCUCCAUGGUGUAAUUGGAUAUAUCUCUAGUGAGCUUGGGUUUAAUGUAUUAUUAUUUUACUAUAAGAAAAUAUACAUAAUAUACUGGAAAAAUAAAAUAGCCCACAUAGGAAGAUAAUAAAGCAAAAGUUUGCAGCAAGAAGUGUUCUAAAUGUAAAGCAAAGUAGUCUAGAUUUUUGUAAAGCUUUUUAUUAUCACAUAGAUGUAUUAAAAAACCAAACUCCAAAAGCUUCAUUCAAGAAAUUCUAUUCUACAAAGUUCCAAGCAUGCAAGCACAACUCAUUAAACAAUUUGGCAUACCUGACGCACAUGUACACAUGGUAAGGCAUAAAGCUACAAAGAUAUACUGCAUCUACUUGACUAUAAUGAAAGAUAAAUAAGAAUCGAGUUUGAUAGUUAACAUGAAUGGCUUCUGGGUGAAAAAAACCAAUAACUCUUUGUUUUUCAACAACUUUAUCAACUUCCAUUAGUGUACGGUUUCCCCUUUCUUUUAGUCAAACAUAAGGUUUUUGAACAGAUAAAAAUAUUUUAAACUGACCAAUUUUGUUCCAAAAAUAACCUUCCCAUGUUAUCAUCGUCUUCAAUCCCUCUUUUCUCUUUAAAAAUACUUUAAAUGGACAUUAAAAUCUGGAAUGUUGUUACGGGAGUUUGAACCAAGUAAAUGAAAAAACAAGAAAUAUCGGUGGGAUAAGUAUGGAAACGGCAUCAGUCAUUGAACAAGUCCAGUGUCCUGAUAGUGAUGAUCAGAAACCAGCUCAGUUUCCCUCGAAAUCAUUAUUGUGUUAAAUACUAUACUUAUUAAAUAAAUUAUUCUUCCAAUCCCCCACUCCAAGUGGAAGUAUGACCCUAAGAUAAUACACUACCUGCUGCUUCUCCAUUAUCCCUUCUUUAUGUGCCACUAGAAAACUUAAUACUUGAUACAAAGAUUCAAGGGUCAUAAUCACUCAAAUCGAGCUCAGGAAGCAUUCUACCUUCGACGUUGCCGUAUUUGCUCUCUUUCCUCAUAUGUGCUCUUUGGAUCAUAACAACCAAGCAGAAAUUCCCAAACUUCUCCUCUAAUUGUUGGAUGGAUUCCCUAAUUUGAAAAGAAAAAGACAAUCUCCAGCGUGAACCCUUGCAAAUUGUAACUUUCUUUUAUGAAUAGCUAAAAAUAAAUGAAAGAAACAUGUCAACAGUGCAUAGGAGAUUUUAUAUGUGCAUCAGCAUACAUCAUCUCACAAACAGAGUAAGAAUUCAAAAUAAAAAUAAAAAUAAAUAAAAAGAAAAAAGAAGAAGAUGAAGACACACACAGCCUAAGCAAUAUAAAAAGCUUUCAUUUAAUAAGACAGGUUCCUAAACUGUGUUCUAACCCUUCCAGAAAUGACGAUGCUACAUUUUAAGCACAGCAUGCAGGACAAGUUUUUGUUCUAAAUUUCCAGCCAAACUUUUACUAUUAAUUUGAAGAGGAUAUCAAUGUUUUCUCCAACAAUGUUGUCCAUAAUUUAUCAGUAAAGCAGGGUAGUAAUAUAAAGGCAUCUGGAUAGGAACAUAAUCAUUACAAAACCAAGAAUUGAGAAUCUGGUACGGAACUAAGGCCACUUUUGACAGAGGGAUAUGCCAAAGCUCAAUAACAUUAGGGUAAUGAGAGUUCAACUUAUUUAGGAUAUACUAGAGAAACAAAUAAAACUAAGGUGGUAUUUGUUUUAUUUACUUUUUGCUUAAAGCAACUUAGUCUCAGAUUUCAGAUUAUUAUGAUUAUUGUUUUUUUUCUAAAUGGCAAAAGUAACCUGUUGAACCUAACCAACAUAACUAAAGGGUUCUGUUGAUUUUUUUCUUUUACUUUUAAUAUUUAAUAGAAUAAAAUAUUUAAAAACCAAACAACUUAAUACUUAACACUAUUAAACACCAUCUAACUCUCUCCCUUUUGGAAACUUCAUUUACAAGUAGUUUCAUUCACAGAAAGUUUUAUAUGUUGCGGACUUAUCAAAAGUGUACAUUUGCUGAAUGAUUAGUAACAACAAUACAAUAAAUACCAUCAACAACAUAUCGUAUUGGCAAUUUACUCCAGGAGACUAACUACACAACCAACAAAAAAAAAUGAAAUUUUGGAGGGUUAUAUUUUUUUCAUAAUGAGCAGAUGCAUUAAGAACUGGAAAGGGCAAACCCUGUGUGCACAGAGUGUAUAAAAUGUAGCAUUGUCUCUCUUGCACAUGCAACACCAAUUAGGGAUUUCUUUCCUUUACUAAUCAAAUGAAGAAUAGUAGGAAUCUUAUCCCAUACUGCCAUCAAGACAAAGGAAACCACCUUAUAAGGUCCCACUACACGCCAAACUCCCUUCACCAGGAAAUCAUCUUUGCAACCACUCAUUAGAGCCUCAAAGAAGGCUUUGACAGUGAAAAAAUAUACUCUUAAAUCCUUUUUCAAAUCACAGGUCUAAACAACCCCAGCCAUCAAAAAAUCUUCCCAAGAAAGCCUCCACCAGAUCUGGCUUCCAAUUGUUCACCUCCCUGUUGAGAGUAAAUUUAAAUACAAUCCAGGAAAACCAAAAAAGUAACCAUGAAGAAGGAUCAGAGAUGGUGCAAGUUGAAGGUCCAUUAAGGGAAACAGGAACGAAACAUAAGGAUUGACUUAUCAAAUCCUGAUGAUAAUGGUUUAACGGCAUGAAAGGCUUCCUAUAUACUGGAACAAAAGAGUAGGGUGGAUGUUGUAGAUGAUGAUGAUGAAGAAAAUGGCAAUGGCAAUGGCAAUGGCAAUGACAAUGAUAUGCUUACUAUUGAAAAUGAAUAUUCAUUAAAAUCUGAGUUCAUACAUUCAACAUGUUCUAAGUCCUAUAAGCUCAUUUGGCCAAUUUCAUACACAUAAAGAGACAUGAAAUGCGGUUUAACCAAAUUGAAUAAUGAGACUCUAAGCAGAAAUGGUCACAUUUGCAAGUAGGAAGCAAAAUUAAGUUCUGAUUGAUUUUUAGGAGAAAAAGUGAGCUAUUGAGUUAAAUCUCAAGAUAACUUCAAAACUCAAGUUUUCAGGACUUCAGAAGAGCUGAAAUAGAGAAGACAGAUAACACGGAUCAAGUUUCCCAAGAAGCUACUGAUAUCCACUAACUUUCCCAUACUUCUGUGCAGAAUUACCCAACUACAUACAAGGCAUCUUACAACCAUAAAGAUGAACUUACCCCUCUUUGGAUUCUACUAAGCAUCCUGCUCAUUUCAAGAUGACCUUCUGGACUAAAUGCAGCCUUCCAUCUUCUUUCACUUAGAGUUUUUCCAGCCUGCAUAAGCAAAUUAAAACAGGAGCUUCAAUGAUUGCCACAGGAUAGGAGUGUUCUGGGAGUGUGUGCAUAUAAUUCUAAUGUUUCAUGCAUAAAUUUGAAAGUAUCAAGAAACAUAAUCCAUCCUUUAAUAACAGAAUGAAACUUCAAUAGUGAGGAAAAUCAAAUAUCCCCAACACUUGAUUCAUUCCAUGGCCAUAAUCCUAUUCAUCACAGACUAACAAAAUACUUCACUGAAAAUCCCAGAAAAAACAUGCAUUUGAAUGUAUGAAGAAACAUAAUCCAACUUUUAAUAACAGAACGUAACUUCAGUAGUGAGGAAAAUCAAAGAUCUGCAGAGUUGAUUCAUUCCCCAUAAUCCUAUUCAACACAAGCAAACAAAAUUCUUCGUUGAAACUCCCAGAACACAUCCAUUUAUAAAGAUACAAUAAGAUUACAAGUUUUUCCUUUGUUUAGAUAUAGAAAAAUAAUACAGAGUACCUAAGCUAUCUUGCUAGGAUAAUAUAGUUUGUAAAUGCUGAUAAAUAGCAUAAAAAGGUGCAAAAAUUGGCUACACCUACCUUGAUAUCCCCCAUUCCAUUCUGCCACUACAGUUGGCAUGUAAUAAGCCAACUCUCUGGUAUAAAAAUGACAAAACUGUCAUGCACUUUGAGUUGAUCUUUGCAUUUGCAACCUUUCAAAAGACUGAGUGUAUAUUUUCCUGGUGAAGUAAAGUGUGACUACAUAGAGAGCAGAAUUAGUGAUCCAUGAAUCCCUCAUGAACAUAGCAGGCAUGGUUAUGUAUCUCUUGAUGAGCAUAAUCCGAUGUUCAUGAGUAUCUAGGCAAAUGUAUUCAAGAGCCUUCUGAGCAGUAAGAUACUCUUGCAACCUAAUCUUCUCCAUACAUGGUGGAAGCUUUUCAAUUUUCUUCACUGAUGCAUCUACUUUAGGGAUGAACCACUUUAGUACUAGUGUUGUAAGUAUCACCUUUAUUCUACAUGCAUUCUUUUAUAUCUUCCCAUAAAAUUAUCAUGAGGCCUAAGGUCCCAUUGUCUUACAGUGCUUGUCAAUUUCAAAAGUCAGUGCAAAAUUGCAUCAUAUAAGGAAUGUAACCCAUACUUUGUAAUUUGUUUAUUUUACAUAAUUGGCUUCACAACUGUGGUAAAAAAGAAUCUAGUCCCUGAUUGAAAAAUGGUAAGGACCAUAGCCAGUCCAAAAUCAUCAGCUCAAACCUAUAUACUGCAGCAUAGUAGAUGUUCAGAGGCAGGGAUGUAUUUAUGUUGUUUUAUUUGGACAUAGAACAAUUGGAAAUUCCAUUAUCCUCAACAGGCUAAAGGCACAGACAUAGACAUGGAAAUGGCUUAUGGUCAAGAGCAUGUUCUCUAUGAUCAUAGUUAACAUUUAUGAUUACAAAGAAAUACGGGCAUUCCUCAAUCAAACUCCACCAUGGCUCUGUCCUUCUUAUCUUCUAUGCAGCUAAUGCCCCAGCCAAGAAAGAGGAGGCUACAUUAGGUACAUGGCCAACAUAAUAUCAUCAUCAAAACCUUCAUGAAAUGAAUCAAGUUAUUUCACCUUUCCCUAUAAGGCGUAUGAUUAAAAAGAAGAUAUGAACAGAGAGUGAAAAAGGAUUCAUAGAGCCGAGCCCAAAUAAUCGGUAUUUAAAUCUUUAUAUCAUAAAGUUGACUGGUUGGGUAAUCUUCAUUCAAAUCCAUUUCAAGUCAACCUCCCUAAACCCAAAUUUCAUGGUUUCACCUAAAAAUCAUAAUUCUUUCCUCCAAUCCUAAAGAAAUCCAGCGUCAUAAAUCUAAAUUCCACCCAAAUAUAAUGAUUCUUUUCUUCUACUACUAAUCAAAGAGAAUUUCACCCAAAAAAAAAAAAAAAAAUUGUUUCCUUACUAAUCCUUUGUGGGUGGGGGAGAGCCAACAUUAUAACCUGAAUUUCACCUAAGGAUCACUUUUUCUCUAAUACAAUCAAAGAAACAAACAAUAAAUUGCAAUUAUUUUAAUCAAACAGAAAAAGAAACACCCAAUUCCCAAACUCAAUAGAAAACACAAAGAAAACGUAGAAGACAAUAAUCCAAUCGUUCAUAAAACACUGGUCAAAAUUAAGAUAAAGGGCAUUGAAAUGGGAUCAAAGAAACCACAAACCUUGAUUUUGAAUCGGGUUUUUGGCACAUCCGAGCACUCGGCCCUAACCUCGUAGAAGGAAUCGGUGGGAGCUCCAGUAUCAAACCACAUUCCGAAACACCAAAAACACUUUCAGAAAAACAAAAUAAAAAUACAGCACCAACCCACGAGCUGAAUCCCCUUAAAAAGGCAAAGAAUGGAUCAGAGAGGAAGAGAGAAAGCUUCAAAGGGGACCCAGAUCAGGUGCUGGCGAAACCGAGCUGGAAACGAGGACAAGUUCAAAGCGCAAGCAUAAACGAAUCACAUAAAAAAAAAACAAAAAACAAAAAACAAAAAACAAAAAACAGCCGAAAAAAAACUGUUUUUUUUUUUUUUUUUUACGCUUUCGAUUUCUGCUUUCCCUUUCUUCUUUUUGGGUUAGUUAAGGCGGUGGUUGUGGUUGUGGGUGGCGGAGGUGGUGGUGACACAAUCCCACGACACCAAAACAAGAAGGGAAGCUCAAUGGGUUGAUUUAAUGUAUACUUUUGUACGUUUCUUUUUCUAUUUUUUUUUCCGGCUUGGACAAGUCAAAAUGUGUGUUUUUUUUCUCCUAUUUGACUACUUUUGAUUGGUGGAUGAGGAUGUUAGAGUGAGCGACAGUGGCGUGCGGUCGUUCGAAUGUGUUCGUACUCGCCUUUUUCCGCGGGAAAGGGGUGGCGCGUGAGGGAAGGGCGUGUGUUAAAGUGGCUUCAAACCAAUACUUAUGGUAAAAAUAAAACUUCUAAUUAUUAAUAAAUAUAAAGAUGAAAUAUGUUAAAGCGUUAUAUUAAUAUUACCAUAAGUUAAAAUACCCAUAAUCUACCAACCUAAACAAUUGAUUAAAAAUGAUGAAAACAUCUCUUAUUUGUAAAUCUUGAUAAAAUAUCUUUGUGCAAUGGGUCAUUUGACCAAGUCUUUAAUAAUAUUAAAUUGUUUUAUGUUGAGUCUUAUAUCUGUUAUGUUGUCUUGGUCUAUAGGAAAUUGUUUAUUGAGUCUCUUUAUUAUCUCCUGAUUUUUGGUGAUGGUGGUAGUAGGUUUAUUGAAACAUGGUUUCAUGGUCCUAUUUUUAUGCCUUUGUUGUUAUGGUUUUGUCAAGCCAGUUGAUUGUAUUGCCUAUUUAUUGGUUGUCUCAAUAAAAUAAAUAUAGGAAUUGCUUCUCUGUUUUGGUUUUACUUUUUGCUCAGUUUUCUUUAUUAGUGGUAUUAGAGCCCGAUUAACGUUAGAAAAGUGGGUUAAAACCAAAAAGUGAGAAUUGAGAGUGCCAAAACAGAGAGAGGGAGUUUGUGAGACAAAGAGUCAUAUAGCAGCAACUUUGUUUAUUUUCUUUCAGCAGCAGAAAAAAACAAUGGCCUCUGAAAAUUUUGUGCAACCUGCAAUUCCAUGUUUUGAUGGUCACUAUGACUAUUGGAGCAUGUUGAUGGAAAAUUUCUUACGAUUUAAAGAAUACUGGCAAGUAGUCUCUGGAGGGAUAGCAGAACCAGCAACGAACUCACCAAUGACGGAUGCGCAGAAAAUAGAGAUUGAAGGACAGAGAUUAAAAGAUCUAAAGACAAAGAAUUAUUUGUUCCAAGCUAUUGAUCGCUCAAUCUUGGAAACUAUUCUGUGUAAGGACACCUCCCAGUAGAUUUGGGACUCCAUGAAGAAGAAGUACCAGGGAUCAACAAGGACCAAGAGGCAGCAGCUUCAAGCACUUCGAUCUGAGUUCGAAACGCUUCGAAUGAAGCCGGGAGAGUCAGUUUCUGAUUACUUCUCAAGAACAAUGGCAAUCAUCAACAAAAUGGGAAUUCAUGGCGAGAAGAUGGAGGACGUGACUGUUAUUGAGAAAAUUCUUCGGUCAAUGACGCCAAAAUUUAACUAUGUUGUUUGUUCUAUUGAGGAAUCGAAAGACCUUGAUGAACUAUCAAUUGACGAGUUGCAAGGAUCUUUGUUAGUUCAUGAGCAGAAAAUCAUCCAGGAGGACAAGGAGAAGCAAGCUUUAAAGGCUUCAACUAACAACAAUGCUUUGACAACGAAUAGAUCAGCAGAUCGAGGUAGAGGCAAAGGAAGAGGAGUUCGAGGAGUUAGAGAUGGAAGUAGAGGAAGAGGUGGACGAGGCAAUUUUAGAGUUGAUAAAGAUCAACCAGAUUUCCAAAAUAGAGGUAGAGGCCAAAUCAACAAUUUGACAAAUCCAAGGUAGAGUGUUUUAGAUGUCAUAAAUUUGGCCAUUACCGUUCUGAAUGUUAUACUAAAUUACCUAACGACAAAGAAAAAGGAGAGAAAUCUAAUUAUGCAGAAAAGAAAGAAGUUGAAACCUUGUUGAUGGCUGCUCAAGUCAAUGAACAACCUCAAGCAGAAGUGUGGCAUGUGGACACAGGCUGCAGCAACCACAUGUGUGGUAGUAAGUCUUCUUUUUGUUUUCUAAAUGAAGGUUUUCGUUCUACAGUGAGCUUUGGUGAUUGUUCUACUGUGAAUGUAAUGGGAAAGGGUGAUAUUAAUAUUAGAACCAAGAAUGGUUUUGUAGAAACAAUUUCCAAUGUUUUUUAUGUUCUAGACUUGAAAAGUAAUUUGUUAAGUGCUGGUCAAUUGCAAGAAAAGGGUUACAUAAUAACAAUUCAGAAGGGUGCUUGUGAGAUAUAUGAUACUUCGAGAGGUGUUAUUGUUGUUGUUCAAAUGGCUUCAAACAAGUUGUUUCCAUUGAAGAUUGAUAGUGUCCAGUCUUUCUUAAUGGCUGAAGUGAAAGAUCUUUCAUGGCUUUGGCAUUUACGCUAUGGCCAUUUGAAUUUUAGUGGAUUAAAAACUCUCCAACAUAAACAUAUGGUGACAGGUCUUCCUCAAAUUUCCAUUCCUUCUCAAGUUUGUGAAGAAUGUGUUGUUGGCAAACAACAUCGUUCUCAAUUCCCUCAAGGAAAGUCGCGAAGAGCAAAGAAUGUCUUGGAACUGGUUCACUCUGACAUUUGCGGUCCAAUUAAUCCAACUUCUAAUGGGGGUAAAAAAUAUCUAAUUAUCUUUAUUGAUGAUUAUAGUCGAAAAACGUGGGUUUCUUUUUUGCAGGAAAAAUAAGAUGCUUUUAGUGCAUUUAAAAGCUUCAAGGCACACGUUGAAAAAGAAACAGGGAGAUCCAUCAAAAUUAUCUGUACUGAUCGUGGUGGAGAAUAUUGUUCAAAUGAAUUUGAACAUUUUUGUGAUGAUCAAGGCAUACGAAGAGAACUCACAGCUGCUUAUACAUCGCAACAGAAUGGUGUAUCGGAGAGAAAAAAUAGAACCAUCCUCAACAUGGUGAGGAGUUUGCCUGCAAGGGGCAAAAUUCCAAAGAGUUUUUGGCCGGAGGCAGUGAAUUGGAGUAUCCAUGUGUUGAACAGAAGUCCUACAUUUUCUGUUCAAAACAUGACACCGGAGGAGGCUUGGAGUGGACGGAAACCAGUUGUAGAUCACUUCAAAAUUUUCUGUUGCAUCGCCUAUGCACAUGUCCCAGACGAGAAAAGGAAGAAACCUGAUGAUAA